rnacentral:rRNA from 1 species
CCUACGGGUGGCAGCAGUGAGGAAUAUUGGUCAAUGGGCGGGAGCCUGAACCAGCCAUGCCGCGUGAAGGCGAGUGCCCUACGGGCGUUAAACUUCUUUUGUGCGGGAGCAAUAAGGGCCACGCGUGGCCCGAUGAGAGUACCGCACGAAUAAGCAUCGGCUAACUCCGUGCCAGCAGCCGCGGUAAUACGGGGGAUGCGAGCGUUAUCCGGAUUUAUUGGGGUUAAAGGGUGCGUAGGCGGCGCUUCAGGUCAGCGGUGAAAUGUCCGGGCUCAACCCGGGCCUUGCAGCGCGAACUGGCGUGCUUGAGUCCGCGGAAAGCAGGCGGAAUUCGUCGUGUAGCGGUGAAAUGCUUAGAUAUGACGAAGAACCCCGAUUGCGAAGGCAGCUUGCUGCAGCGGAACUGACGCUGAUGCUCGAAAGCGCGGGUAUCGAACAGGAUUAGAUACCUUGUAGUC